UGGGGAAUUUUGGACAAUGGGCGCAAGCCUGAUCCAGCCAUGCCGCGUGCGGGAAGAAGGUCUUCGGGUUGUAAACCGCUUUUGUCAGGGAAGAAAUCUUCUGAGUUAAUACCUCGGGAGGAUGACGGUACCUGAAGAAUAAGCACCGGCUAACUACGUGCCAGCAGCCGCGGUAAUACGUAGGGUGCAAGCGUUAAUCGGAAUUACUGGGCGUAAAGCGUGCGCAGGCGGUUUUGUAAGACAGAGGUGAAAUCCCCGGGCUCAACCUGGGAACUGCCUUUGUGACUGCAAGGCUUGAGUGCGGCAGAGGGGGAUGGAAUUCCGCGUGUAGCAGUGAAAUGCGUAGAUAUGCGGAGGAACACCGAUGGCGAAGGCAAUCCCCUGGGCCUGCACUGACGCUCAUGCACGAAAGCGUGGGGAGCAAACAGGAUUAGAUAGCCCUGGUAGUCCACGCCCUAAACGAUGUCAACUGGUUGUUGGGAAGGUUCCUUCUCAGUAACGUAGCUAACGCGUGAAGUUGACCGCCUGGGGAGUACGGCCGC
rnacentral:rRNA from 1 species